UACGUAGGGUGCAAGCGUUAUCCGGAAUUAUUGGGCGUAAAGAGCUCGUAGGCGGCUUGUCGCGUCGAAUGUGAAAUCCCGAGGCUCAACUUCGGGCUUGCAUUCGAUACGGGCAGGCUAGAGUUCGGUAGGGGAGACUGGAAUUCCUGGUGUAGCGGUGAAAUGCGCAGAUAUCAGGAGGAACACCGAUGGCGAAGGCAGGUCUCUGGGCCGAUACUGACGCUGAGGAGCGAAAGCGUGGGGAGCGAACAGG
rnacentral:rRNA from 1 species